rnacentral:rRNA from 1 species
AUACAGAGGGGGCUAGCGUUGUUCGGAAUUACUGGGCGUAAAGCGUACGUAGGCGGACUGAUCAGUUGGGGGUGAAAUCCCAGGGCUUAACCCUGGAACUGCCUUCAAUACUGUCAGUCUUGAGAUUGGAAGAGGUGAGUGGAAUUCCUAGUGUAGAGGUGAAAUUCAUAGAUAUUAGGAGGAACACCAGUGGCGAAGGCGGCUCACUGGUCCAAUACUGACGCUGAGGUACGAAAGCGUGGGGAGCAAACAGGAUUAGAAACCCUAGUAGUCC